UCGAGGAUCUUCGGCAAUGGGCGAAAGCCUGACCGAGCGACGCCGCGUGUGGGAUGAAGGCCUUCGGGUUGUAAACCACUGUCGUAGAGGAGGAAAUUCUGGGGGGUUCUCCCCUCGGUUUGACCUAUUCUAGGAGGAAGUCAGGGCUAAGUUCGUGCCAGCAGCCGCGGUAAGACGAACCUGACAAACGUUAUUCGGAAUUACUGGGCUUAAAGGGUGCGUAGGCGGCGCGACAAGUUGGGUGUGAAAUCCCUCGGCUCAACCGAGGAACUGCGCUCAAUACUGUCGUGCUCGAGGGAGACAGAGGUGAGCGGAACUUAGGGUGGAGCGGUGAAAUGCGUUGAUAUCCUAAGGAACACCGGUAGCGAAAGCGGCUCACUGGGUCUUUUCUGACGCUGAGGCACGAAAGCUAGGGUAGCGGAC
rnacentral:rRNA from 1 species